CACGCAGCUCACAACUUCCUGCAAUCCGACCACCAGUUGCCGAACUCUCUUUAGGCCACUCAUCCACAAAGAGCGGAAGGCUGAUGGCGGAAAAGUUUGCUUCAAGAGAUUGGACCAUGAGUCUUCUCUGUUUUCAAGAAUGGAGUUGGAAAGACUAGCAUGGAGUCAUGGAGGUAAAGGAAAAUCUCUUUGGAAGUAGUAAUAGGAUAGAUGUCUCACUUGGAAAGAAUUUGAAGAUCGAUUAUCUUCCGGAGAUAGAAAAGAUUCAAAAGGCCACUUCCAUCGUGAAGAAAUGUUGCUACUAUAAUUUCCGUAAGCUUCUGGCCAAAGUUAACACCACUAUUGUUCAUCUUGCCAUUCCACCAUGUUAGAUGUUUCACUGGAAUUUCAUGCUUUAGUAUGGUUGUAAUGUUCGAGACAUGGCAUGGCUGCAGUGCUUUUUUGGGGGAGAGAAGAGACUAGGAAUGAUAAUGAACUUCUUUUAUUAAUUUUUUCUUAACUUCAAAUAGCAUGUGGCAGUUCUUCAGAUAGAUGGAAUGCCCUUAACAAAGAUAAACCAAUCUUAACCAUAUCAAAAACAAAAAAAUACUAUUUGCGAACUUGGCAAUAGGAUCCUUAUUUUGGCUAUCUUAUACAUAGGCUUUAUUCUGUACCUUCUUAACAAGAGACAUGCCAAUAAUGCCAACUUUGUAAGCUUAGUUAAACAGUUGUAAAUAUGUCUGGACUAUUGCUUGUUUAGUGAUUUUCAGCUCCUUGCGGCUGGUUUUGUUAUGGUUUUUUUAACAGGAAAAAACCUCUUGUGGAUAUCUCAAUUUGUAUUCAUAGUACAGAAAGGUUUCAGGUUUUGUCAUCUGUUUUCUUUGAAUGAUCAGGCUGUGUCCUCUUGUAAUGUAAGAUUAUCCAUUUUUUUAUCUCUUAUUUCAGUGUUUACACUCGCAGCUGCAGAAUUUGAUGCGGUAUGUGGUGAUCUCUGGGAUGUUGUGAUGUCAUUUAGGACAGAGUCAAGCCAAAGCUGUGGAUUACCCCAUGAGUACUAUUGACGAAGCUCACAACACCAUCAAGACGUUCACUGGUUGGUCCUUUUUCUCCUUUCUGAAAAAGCGACUCCAAUUUACUUGUGGACCUGAUGAACUAUUCACACAGAUGUUUUAAACCUUUCAUCCUCUAUGGUCCUUUCCAUAUAAUUCAGCGGGAAUUGAGCUCUGUCGUGCUUCAUAAUCCAAUAAUUUAAACAAGGUCAAGUUUUCAUGCAAAUGCUCAACAUUUGCUUGGAUCCGUGCAUCAUCUAUCUGAAACUUAGAUAUUCGUGAGGUACCAGUUUAAUUUUGAUCAAUCUGCUCAUGGUUGGCAGACCAAACCGCAUAGAAUUCUUCGAGAUCAACAUCUAUGUUAGUUCAUCAUGUGGUCCUUCCCUGAACUUCUCUAACGACAAUGCUCUCAUUUGUGGCAUCACAUUCAAAACCAAAACUGCGUACUGCACUAAAGACAAAGAAAGAAAGAUUAACCCUGCUCUUGCAUAAAUGUUUUGUUUUAAUUCUUCACAAAGAUGAGUAUAUCAGUGAAAGGUCCCUAAAUGUAGCAUUCUGCCACCUUUGUGA